rnacentral:rRNA from 1 species
GAUAUGUGAAUACAUAGCAUAUCAGAAGGCACACCCGGAGAACUGAAACAUCUUAGUACCCGGAGGAAGAGAAAGAAAAUUCGAUUCCCUUAGUAGCGGCGAGCGAAACGGGAAGAGCCCAAACCAACAAGCUUGCUUGUUGGGGUUGUAGGACACUCUAUACGGAGUUACAAAGGACGACAUUAGACGAAUCAUCUGGAAAGAUGAAUCAAAGAAGGUAAUAAUCCUGUAGUCGAAAAUGUUGUCUCUCUUGAGUGGAUC